AUUAAAACACAGGUUCCCAUAUGAUCACCAAAGUUAAGCAACAUCAAGCCUGGUCAGUACCUAGAUGAAUGACCACUUGGGAAUAUCAAGUAAGCUGUAA